rnacentral:ncRNA from 1 species
AAAGGUUUGGUCCUAACUUUUCUAUCAGCCCUAGCUAAAAUUAUACAUGCAAGUAUCCGCAUCCCUGUGAGAAUGCCCUAACAGUUUCCCCCGCGGAAACAAGGAACUGGUAUCAGGCCCAACACUACGUCCCGCCCACGACACCUUGCUCACGCCACACCCCCAAGGGAACCCAGCAGUGAUAAAUAUUAAGCCAUAAGUGAAAACUUGACUUAGUUACAGCUAAUAGGGCCGGUAAAACUCGUGCCAGCCACCGCGGUUAUACGAGAGGCCCAAGUUGAUAGCCUUCGGCGUAAAGAGUGGUUAAGUUAGCCUAAAACACUAAAGUCGAACGUCCCCAAGACCGUAAUACGUGUUCGGGGACAUGAAGCCCAACCACGAAGGUGACUUUAAAAACAUCUGACUCCACGAAAGCUGAGAAACAAACUGGGAUUAGAUACCCCACUAUGCUCAGCCCUAAACUUUGAUAGCCAACCACACCCGCUAUCCGCCCGGGUACUACAAGCUCUUAGCUUAAAACCCAAAGGACUUGGCGGUGCUUUAGAUCCCCCUAGAGGAGCCUGUUCUAUAACCGAUACCCCCCGUUACACCUCAUCCUCUUUUGCUCGUACCGCCUAUAUACCGCCGUCGUCAGCUUACCCUAUGAAGGAUUAGUAGUAAGCAAUAUUGGUCUGACCCUAAACGUCAGGUCGAGGUGUAGCACAUGAGAGGGAAAAGAAAUGGGCUACAUUUCCUUAACAGGAAACAACGAACUAUAAACUGAAAUAUGUAUCAUGAAGGAGGAUUUAGCAGUAAAUGAAAAAUAGAGCGUUUUAUUGAAUUUGGUCCUGAAGCACGCACAUACCGCCCGUCACUCUCCCCAUGAGCACAAAAAUUUAUUUUUAAAUUAACCUUAACAUCAAUAGGGGAGGCAAGUCGUAACAUGGUAAGUGUACCGGAAGGUGCACUUGGU